GACGAACGCUGGCGGCGUGCUUAACACAUGCAAGUCGAACGGUGAAGCGCCUUCCUUUUUGGUGGGUGUGGAUGAGUGGCGAACGGGUGAGUAACACGUGAGUAACCUGCCCCCUUCUUCUGGAUAACCGCAUGAAAGUGUGGCUAAUACGGGAUAUUCUGGGUCUGUCGCAUGAUGGGUCUGGGAAAGAUAUUGUUUCGGUGGGGGAUGGGCUCGCGGCCUAUCAGCUUGUUGGUGGGGUGAUGGCCUACCAAGGCGGUGACGGGUAGCCGGCCUGAGAGGGUGGACGGUCACACUGGGACUGAGACACGGCCCAGACUCCUACGGGAGGCAGCAGUGGGGAAUAUUGCACAGUGGGCGAAAGCCUGAUGCAGCGACGCCGCGUGAGGGAUGGAGGCCUUCGGGUUGUGAACCUCUUUCGCCAGUGAAGCAGGCCUGCCUCGUUUGUGGGUGGGUUGACGGUAGCUGGAUAAGAAGCGCCGGCUAACUACGUG
rnacentral:rRNA from 1 species